UAUUUUAAAGUUAAUAAUAAUUAAAGAAUUUGGAGUAGGAUAUGGAGAUGAAAAGCCAGAGGUAGAGGUUUAAAUAAAACUUCAAGGAAGCCUUGGAAACUAUGUCUUGAAAAUAUGACAAUUAUAGAUGGAGAUAAUUUUAAAGUUUUUUUAAAAUUGAAAGUAGGAUACAAUGUUUUAUUUACAUGAGGUGAAAAGGGACAAAAACUUCAAUUAAGAAGAAUAAUAAAGUAAAACGUAAAGAGGUGAGAAGUAGAAACUAAUAAGAAAUCAAAAGCGAAAAAAAAUUUCAGCGAAGAAAAACAAGCAAAUAAGAAUAAUGUUUUAUGUUAUCAUAAGACAGAAGUAUUUGAGUAAAGAGUAAAAGAGAAGAGAUUAGCAAGAAGUACAAACAAGUAGACAAAAAACUAUAAGGAAACAUUUACUGAUCAUGGUCGGAUUUGGUAGACGACAAGCGGUGCCCCUGGGGCCUCAACAACAGAGGCGAAAAUGACUUGACUGUAACUUUUAUUCCUAAACUUAUCUUCUAUACUAAUUGAAUCUAAGUGAUCUGCAUUUCUGCAUUUACAAACUUACGGCAACAUUCUGGCCAGAGCGUGUUUAUGUAGCGGUGAAAUUUGCACAGCAGCCGAAGCAAUGCUGGAACCAGAAUCCUGUGACAUUGUGCGCUGCAUAUGAUGCAUAGGAUGCUGAAUCACAGGACCGCCAACAAAUUGCAAUUGCUGCUGAUGAUGAUGUGGUUGCUGCUGCAGCGGAUGUUGCUGAUACUGUGACUGAGUCAGUUGCUGCUGCUGCUGUGAACGCCUGAAAGGAUAACGCCAAGGACUCUUGGGGACAUCACCUUGGAAGGCUUUAUUCUCCACCCCACUGCUCGAGACACCAGCUGGACUGCCACGUCUGGGCACUGAUGCAGCUGCUCCUGUUGCUGGCUGCAUGUCACGAGCGACCUUAGAACUCAAGCGGCGCAAAAUGCGAGAGCCCAGACCAGGUGGUUCUUCCAAGUUACGUGUAUUGCGAGGCUUACGAUAGCGCACAUCGCUGGAUUCCUCUAAAAUGACAUGACGAUCAUACGGUGUGCCAUAGUAGACCUCCAGGACUGUGGAGAAUGUAUGCGGCCAGACCAGAUCAAUGAUGGAGAUGAGUACACCAACAAUGAAGCAAAGAAUGCCUAAAAAGGGAAAAAGUUAUAAGAAAAUGACUUCCUUGUUAAAAACUGCAACAACUUACCCGCCACUAGAACCAGCCAGUAGCACCAACCGAAAUGAAAUUCCAGCUUGCCGCCCUCCAAGUAAAUGCAUAGCGGUCGCUUUGGCAACAAACAGUGAUAACCCACUGUGGUGCAGACAAGCAAAGCUCCAGUCAAUGCCUUCAUAUAGGCACCAUAACGUGGCACAGCAAUAAGCAGAAGAUUCAUUAACAACCAGGAGGCCAGCGAAGCCCAAAGCAUAAUGCUGGCAAAAUAACCAGCUGCUCGAUACUGGCCACCCCAGGAGAAUCCCUCGCGGCCCAAAC